UCCUGUGACGGGCGAGCUUUUGGCCCGGGUUAUACCUGAUGCUCACGUAUAAGACGAGCAAAAAGCUUGUUGGUCAGAGG
rnacentral:pre_miRNA from 10 species